AUGGAGCUCUGUUCUCUUCAUCGUCUUCUCUGAGUUCUCUUUUUCGUGUUUCGUUCUUCUGGGCAAGAGCCAACAGGGCAAGCAACCGUUUCGUCUUCAAAUUCCUGAAAAUUUCGUUUUCUUCUUCAGUUUCUCAGUUCCUAGACUGUAUUGUUCUUGCCACGCUUCAGCAGAUCGGUGUUUUGAAGUAGAGCUCUGGCCUCUCAAGCUUCAUUGAUACCGGAAGUGACGAGAAGAGAGAGAAGCUAAGCUGAAGAAGAAGUUGGAUUCUUCGUAAUUGGAAGUUUUCCAUCAUAUGUGCUCUUCAGAACAUCUGGUUUCUUCUUCACUAUGCGAGGUCCUGCUGGAACCUUUCGAGUCUUUGGCCGAAUAUCCUGCAUGAACAUAAGCAAAAAAACAUUAGAUGUUUGGCAUCGGUUCUCAACUUAAGCAGUAACCAAAGGCCUGUAAUGUAAUGUCAAACCUGAUCAAAGAUGGCUGUGGGUAUUGCAAGUGUAGCAACGGCAUUUGGAGCAUCCACUAUCCCAGAUAUUCUUCCUUCGCACGGACAGCAUGAGAGUAAGAGGUAAUGUUGUUUACCGCUCUCAUCAACACUGAUACCCUCAAAGACCAGCCACUCUGAGAAUCUUGGUUCCACUGGCCCUAUCUCAAAGAUUGGGUUUACAUGGAGAGGGGUUGGUCCCAUUGGUGUAAGGUAUUCUUGCAUCCCGUUUCUUAUGAUUUCACACCUAUUGAUAAGUUACAGAAUGAUAUUUGGUCAUAAUUUUUUAGUAAACACUUAUGGAGUAGAGAAUUGCUAGAAAGGUACAAUUAGGAACGUAUGC